rnacentral:rRNA from 1 species
GAUGAACGCUGGCGGCGUGCCUAAUACAUGCAAGUCGAGCGAACGGACGAGAAGCUUGCUUCUCUUAUGUUAGCGGCGGACGGGUGAGUAACACGUGGAUAACCUACCUAUAAGACUGGGAUAACUUCGGGAAACCGGAGCUAAUACCGGAUGAUAUUUUGAACCGCAUGGUUCAAAAGUGAAAGACGGUCUUGCUGUCACUUAUAGAUGGAUCCGCGCUGCAUUAGCUAGUUGGUAAGGUAACGGCUUACCAAGGCAACGAUGCAUAGCCGACCUGAGAGGGUGAUCGGCCACACUGGAACUGAGACACGGUCCAGACUCCUACGGGAGGCAGCAGUAGGGAAUCUCCCGCAAUGGGCGAAAGCCUGACGGAGCAACGCCGCGUGAGUGAUGAAGGUCUUCGGAUCGUAAAACUCUGUUAUUAGGGAAGAACAUAUGUGUAAGUAACUGUGCACAUCUUGACGGUACCUAAUCAGAAAGCCACGGCUAACUACGUG